AAGAGGAAAGUGACACCAGAGCUCCAGGCACUCCCUUUACAAGCCCCCCUCCACCUCCUUGUUCAUUAGCCUUCAUUAAGGGGCUUGCCAAAGGCCCCUCGAUGCCCCCUCCCUGGCGGGGUCACUGCUCCGUUAUGUGACUCCUCAUGUGGAUCUUGGAGUGAUGGCAGUUUUUCAACAUUAUCAAUAUGCGGAGAUCCAGUUGCUAGACAUUUACCAGCCCUUCCUACAAAUAACUGAAGAGGUUGAACAAGUUUAACUACUUACUAAAUGACGUACUCAGGCUCCUAGCUCCCAGACAAUACAGUACCUGUCCAAUGGACCACACAAGAUCUCCCACCAUUCUCCAAGGAAACACAGAACCACUACAUAAGAUUUUGAUUGGCUCUCUUCCUAUCUCAAUGCCUUUGUGUGGGCUGUCCCACUUGUCUGGAAUGUU